rfam:Caldithrix abyssi DSM 13497 chromosome, whole genome shotgun sequence.
CCCGCCGAUGAAUCAGCGGGCUAUUCUCAUUCGUCCCUACGGGACU